CUCGGCAAAAUCCCAAUGGCCCACCAGGGCAUAUUGGAACACGGGCCUCGACUGUUUACCAAAAACAUAKCCCUCGGCUAAUAUGAAAAUAGAUGUAUAGAGGGUGAUGCCUGCCCAAUGGUUGUAUCUAAAAGCGGUUGAUAAAAGUUGACCUCGUAAGGACAAUUGAAUGGCCGCGGUAACACUGACCGUGAUAAUGUAGCGUAAUCAAUAGCCAAUUAAUUGUUGGCCAGUAUGAAUGGCGCCACGAAGGCCCCACUGUCUUAAGGAAAUUCCCAGUGAAAUUGAAUUCGUAGUGAAGAUGCUACGUCCAAUUUGUUAGACGAAAAGACCCCGUUGAGCUUUACUGGAGCACUUACAUGGCCCCGGCCUUCCCAUGCCUGGGAACCGGCCGAAUUUAAAUGGGCGGCUUAGAUUAUGUGGCAGCCCCCCGCUGGGGCAAAUGAAACACCACUCCCCCAUGUCAAAGGGGCUAACCCCCCCCCUUGGGGGGACAGUGUAAGUAGGACAGUUUGGUUGGGGCGACCACCUUUUAAAAAGUAACGAAGGUGCGCUUAAGGUGCGCAAUUAAUGACUGAAGCCUGACUGCGAGGGGGACACCCCGAGCAGACACCCCAAAGCCCGCCCGAAAGGCGGCGGUGGGGUGGGCCAUAGUGACCCGUUAAUUUAGAGUGGAAUAGUUAACGAUCAACGAAUAAAAG
rnacentral:rRNA from 1 species